rnacentral:rRNA from 1 species
GAUGAACGCUGGCGGCGUGCCUAGUACAUGCAAGCCGAGCGAACGGACGAGAAGCUUGCUUCUCUGAUGUUAGCGGCGGACGGGCGAGUAACACGUGGAUAACCUACCUAUAAGACUGGGAUAACUUCGGGAAACCGGAGCUAAUACCGGAUAAUAUUUUGAACCGCAUGGUUCAAAAGUGAAAGACGGUCUUGCUGUCACUUAUAGAUGGAUCCGCGCUGCAUUAGCUAGUUGGUAAGGUAACGGCUUACCAAGGCAACGAUGCAUAGCCGACCUGAGAGGGUGAUCGGCCACACUGGAACUGAGACACGGUCCAGACUCCUACGGGAGGCAGCAGUAGGGAAUCUUCCGCAAUGGGCGAAAGCCUGACGGAGCAACGCCGCGUGAGUGAUGAAGGUCUUCGGAUCGUAAAACUCUGUUAUUAGGGAAGAACAUAUGUGUAAGUAACUGUGCACAUCUUGACGGUACCUAAUCAGAAAGCCACGGCUAACUACGUG